rnacentral:rRNA from 1 species
UACGGAGGGUGCGAGCGUUGUCCGGAAUCACUGGGCGUAAAGGGCGCGUAGGCGGCGCGAGUAGUCAACGGUGAAAGCCCGGGGCUCAACCCCGGGUCGGCCGUCGAUACUCUCGUGCUUGAGCACUGUAGAGGCAGAUGGAAUUCCGGGUGUAGCGGUGGAAUGCGUAGAGAUCCGGAAGAACACCGGUGGCGAAGGCGGUCUGCUGGGCAGUUGCUGACACUGAGGCGCGACAGCGUGGGGAGCAAACAGG